UACGUAGGGUGCGAGCGUUAAUCGGAAUUACUGGGCGUAAAGCGUGCGCAGGCGGUUGUGUAAGACAGGUGUGAAAUCCCCGGGCUUAACCUGGGAACUGCGCUUGUGACUGCACGGCUAGAGUACGGCAGAGGGGGGUGGAAUUCCACGUGUAGCAGUGAAAUGCGUAGAUAUGUGGAGGAACACCGAUGGCGAAGGCAGCCCCCUGGGCCUGUACUGACGCUCAUGCACGAAAGCGUGGGGAGCAAACAGG
rnacentral:rRNA from 1 species